rnacentral:snRNA from 8 species
AGCUUUGCACAGUAGCAAUAUCAUAGCCAAUGAGGUUUAUCUGAGGCGCAGUCAUUGCUAAUUGAAAACUUUAAAGGACUAAAUCUUAAUGCAGAAAAGAAGUUGAUUUUAACACAAUUGUUCAUAUUAAAUGAGGCCAGAUUUGGAUUUA